GCCAGGUGUGGUGGCUCGCGCCUGUAAUCCCAGCACUUUGGGAGGCUGAGGUGGGUGGAUCACCUGAGGUCAGGAUUUCGAGACCAGCCUGACCAAUAUGGUGAAACCCCAUCUCUA
ensembl:misc_RNA Metazoa_SRP Metazoan signal recognition particle RNA